rnacentral:rRNA from 1 species
GUGGGGAAUAUUGGACAAUGGGCGAAAGCCUGAUCCAGCCAUGCCGCGUGUGUGAAGAAGGUCUUCGGAUUGUAAAGCACUUUAAGUUGGGAGGAAGGGUAGUAACCUAAUACGUUGCUACUUUGACGUUACCGACAGAAUAAGCACCGGCUAACUUCGUGCCAGCAGCCGCGGUAAUACGAAGGGUGCAAGCGUUAAUCGGAAUUACUGGGCGUAAAGCGCGCGUAGGUGGUUCAGUAAGUUGGAAGUGAAAUCCCCGGGCUCAACCUUGGAACUGCUUUCAAAACUGCAUGACUAGAGUACGGUAGAGGGUAGUGGAAUUUCCUGUGUAGCGGUGAAAUGCGUAGAUAUAGGAAGGAACACCAGUGGCGAAGGCGACUACCUGGACUGAUACUGACACUGAGGUGCGAAAGCGUGGGGAGCAAACAGGAUUAGAUACCCCUGUAGUCC